GACGAACGCUGGCGGCGUGCUUAACACAUGCAAGUCGAACGGAAAGGCCCUGCUUUUGUGGGGUUCUCGAGUGGCGAACGGGUGAGUAACACGUGAGUAACCUGCCCUUGACUUUGGGAUAACUUCAGGAAACUGGGGCUAAUACCGGAUAGGAGCUCCUGCUGCAUGGUGGGGGUUGGAAAGUUUCGGCGGUUGGGGAUCGACUCGCGGCUUAUCAGCUUGUUGGUGGGGUAGUGGCUUACCAAGGCUUUGACGGGUAGCCGGCCUGAGAGGGUGACCGGCCACAUUGGGACUGAGAGACGGACCAGACUCCUACGGGAGGCAGCAGUGGGGAAUAUUGCACAAUGGGCGGAAGCCUGAUGCAGAAGCGCCGGGUGCGGGAUGACGGCCUUCGGGUUGUAAACCGCUUUCGCCUGUGACGAAGCGUGAGUGACGGUAAUGAGUAAAGAAGCACCGGCUAACUACGUG
rnacentral:rRNA from 1 species